AUUGAACGCUGGCGGCAUGCCUUACACAUGCAAGUCGAACGGCAGCACGGGUGCUUGCACCUGGUGGCGAGUGGCGAACGGGUGAGUAAUACAUCGGAACGUACCUUAUCGUGGGGGAUAACGCAGCGAAAGCUGUGCUAAUACCGCAUACGCCCUGAGGGGGAAAGCGGGGGAUCGCAAGACCUCGCGCGAUUAGAGCGGCCGAUGCCUGAUUAGGUUGUUGGUGGGGUAAAAGCCCACCAAGGCGACGAUCAGUAGCCGGUCUGAGAGGACGAUCAGCCACACUGGGACUGAGACACGGCCCAGACUCCUACGGGAGGCAGCAGUGGGGAAUUUUGGACAAUGGGGGCAACCCUGAUCCAGCAAUGCCGCGUGAGUGAAGAAGGCCUUCGGGUUGUAAAGCUCUUUUGUCAGGGAAGAAACACCGGCUCUAACACAGUCCGGGAAUGACGGUACCUGAAGAAUAAGCACCGGCUAACUACGUGCCAGCCGCCGCUGUAA
rnacentral:rRNA from 1 species